UCCUAAACACCAAAGCGUGACAUAAACUAAUUUUCUAGCUAGAUUAGGCUUGUUUGUUAACCUUUAGGUACGUUUUUGAAACACAAAAGAAACGUUUACUAAAGAGUAAACAUUAAGAAUGCAAAUGCAUUACUUUGCAGAUAAUUUUAUUUUAUAAUAUUUACAUUUGCUCAAGUAACUGGCUACUGUUGCUAGGUAGCUAGCUAGCUAGCUAGCCACAGUAGCUAGCUAGCUAUUCGUAUGAUGAGCUAGCUAGCUAGAAGUAAAAUCUAGGUCUAUAUAAAUUCUGUAUUAAUUUAUAUUCAUUGAGCAGGGUAGUUGCAGGAAAUAUGUGCAACGUAUUUCAAGACGCCACUACAAGACAACCAAGGACUUUAGCUGGGGGCCAGUUUGCCGGGAUCCAGAAAAAGACAUGGAGCUCUGGAGUGAUGGAUUGCUGUGUUGACAGAGAUGUCUGUCUCUGUGGAUUUUUCUGUCCCUGCAUUCAGGCCGUUAAGAUGGCAGAGAAAUACGGAGAGUGUUUCUUACUCUCUCAUGUUCCAUGGACACAUUUUAUGUUGCGAACCAGCAUUCGGGAGCGGUAUAACAUAGAGGGAACCAUUUGCGAUGACUGGUGUAUGACUGCUUUCUGCGGACCAUGUGUUCAAUGCCAAAUGGUUCGUGAAAUCAAUAAGGAGAUUCCUAACUGACACAGCCGGAAAGGGAAUGCUGACCCCCAAAGUGUUGUCUCCCGCACCUUGUUAUGAAAAUGUUAAUUAAAUUGUUGCAGUGAGAACCCUCAAGUUUUUGUACAACAAACUUCUUAUGGUUACAUUAGGACUGCUGUCAUCUGAAGACUAUGCCUGCAAGUCAACAAACGCUUUAUGUCCCUCUGACUAUACAGCACUAUGUGAGCACAACCCUUUAUCCAAAUCCUCAGCAGUAAGAAAAAACAAGACACAGUACCAUGUGACUGUCAGAUGUAUACAAUGUGCAAUAUAAUUUACAGUAUUUUACUAUUCAUGAUAAGUCUGUUAUUACCAGAUUAUGGCUCAUUUAAAUGUAUUCAACUACCAGUUGUUUAUAUGAAAAGAAAUUUGAAAUAAGUACUACACAAGAAUAGUUCAGAAAUUAAAUGAUUGUUUUUUUA